rnacentral:lncRNA from 14 species
AAUGGGAUCGUCACUAUUCCAAAGUCCAUGAAAGCGGAAAGGAUAGAAGAAAACUGCAAGCUGAAAGUGUGCUUUCUUUGGGGGAGGGGAAACCACAACCAUCUUAUUGUUACUUCCAAAAUUACCACAAGGAUAUGAACUGUUCAGCAAAUCAGGAAGAAACUUUGCAAGAAGGUAGGAAACCUCUGUCUGCUAGUUAAAGCACUCUGUGUGUGUGUGUAGGUGUAAAUCAGCAUACGUGUAAUGAGCUGUUUAUAUAGCUCCUAUUUAACUUAACAUGCACACUGCCUUCUGUGGUACAAGCACAGCUCUUUGUUGUACUGUAUUGUGAACAGGAGCAGAGAACAAAACUAGGUGAAAAAUCCUUCCAUAUCCAUGUUAUGUUAUGUUAUUUUAUUUUAUAUAUUUUUUGUCUUUAAUUGUUUUAUAUUCCCUAGUGAUAUUUUAAAUCCACAUUAAUUCUAUGUUUUACAGUGUUUAUUCUAUGGGCUCACCAAUUCAUUUCACACAACUGAGGGAAUGCAUUGCAGAAGAAUUUAAAACACUGAGGACGGAGAGGAGGAGGGGAGAGUUAUGAAAUGCUGCACAUCUCCCUUUCUUUGCUUUUUCUUUCCCCCAGGCCAGUGUGUUGGCCUGAGUCUGUACCACCUCUAGUCACAUUGGUGAAAGCAUGGAACUCACUAAGCCCCCAGUACGUAAUAUAGUAUGUAGUAUUUCUGGUUCUGUGACUGGUCCCUGGUUGGAGUCUAAAAAGCUGGAGCACUGAGGUUUGGCUAGAAGCGUCAUUCGAGCAGCCCGUGGUUGUUGGAUAAUGCAGGAUGGGAGGAGCUCAUCUGGCAGCAGUUCAGGCUCCACAGGAUCUUUUAAGUGAGUAUGGAGGAGCUCUGACAAAGGCAACAGACCAGCUUUAAGCAGCUUCAGCUCUGAAGCGAUAAUGUCUGAGUAAGGCACCUGCUAAGAAAACACUGACACCGUCAUUCAUGUUGCAGGUGUCACCACAGGAGAAGUCAGUGGCUGUAAGAAUUUGUGCACGAAGAGAGGUGACUGCUUUCAUGUUUGAGGUAUUUGAUUUUACAAUAGCAGAAGAUGAUGUUGAAGUUCUCAAUGGACUGCAUGAUGGGAGACAUGUUUCCUGGAACCCAAGCCCUGUUGUGUGAAUGAAGGUUUUGUAUUUUAAUCUGAAGGGAGAGGAUCUGGAAUUUUUGAACACUCUGAAUAUCAACAGAAAAUCAAUUCCGUUAACCUAUCCACUGUGGAAAGGAUAAUUUAAACCCAGAUGGUCUUAUACUGCAGAAGUGAUGCAACUGAAGCGUUGAUUCAUUUUAAACUGAGCAGUAAAUCUAAUUUGUUCUCCUGGGUACUCAGGGAGUAUCUGAUAAAUACCGAUCAAAAAUCAGGAUCAAUGGCUUGUAUUUACUGUUAUGUUAACAGAUUAAUAAAAUAAUUUCCUUUAGACUUUACUCA